rnacentral:lncRNA from 1 species
UAUAUAGAAAUCUUAAUAAAAUAUUAAAAUAAUAAUUUUAAUUUAAUCCCAAUCAAAAUCUAAUCAAAUAUUAAUCAAAUCUUAAUCAAAUCCUUGUCAAAUCCUAGUCAACUCCUAAAUAAGUCCUAACCAAAUCCUAGACAAACCCUAGACAAAUCCUAGUCAAAUCCUAAUCAAAUCCUAAAAAAAUCCUAAUCAAAUCUUAAAUCAAAUUUCAAAACCUUAAUCUUAAUUUUUACCAAAUCUUAAUCCUAAUCAAAUCUUAAAUCAACCCAAAAUCCUAAUCCUAAUCCUAAACCAAACCCUAAUCAAUUCCAAGUAAUUCCUAUAGGAGAUUUAAACCUCAAUAAU